rnacentral:rRNA from 1 species
AUGGUUUCCUGGAGCGAGGGGUCAAGCUCUUCUUCUUCGGACGACGAGUCAGUGACUAGCCAGCUUCCUAGGACCAUCCCCUGCUAUGAAUGGAGUGGCAUUGCUCAUGAGCUCUCCUCUCGCUGUCUGCAUCGCGAGCCUUGCCUCAGGCUAGUAGCAUUUGACUCUACGGACACUGGCCGACGCUUUCUUGCUUGUGCUGAGGAGAAGGCUGAACUAAAGUGCAACUAUCUGGAGUGGGUAGACCCUGAGUGGUCACUGGCUUUGCAGUUCUGCCUAACUGAAUUGUGGAGCAUGUAUGACAAAGAAAAAACAAGGACAGGCUGA